rnacentral:rRNA from 1 species
UACGUAGGGGGGCAAGCGUUUGUCCGGAAUCAUUGGGCGUAAAGCGCGUGUAGGCGGUCCAGAUAGUCUGGUGUGAAAUCCCGGGGCUCAACCCCGGUCGGUCACUGGAUACUGCUGGACUUGAGUCCGGAAGAGGAGAGUGGAAUUCCUGGUGUAGCGGUGGAAUGCGCAGAUAGUCAGGAGGAACACCUAUGGCGAAGGCAGCUCUCUGGUACGUGACUGACGCUGAGACGCGAAAAGCGUGGGUAGCAAACAGG